rnacentral:rRNA from 1 species
GGUUAAGCGACUAAGCGUACACGGUGGAUGCCCUGGCAGUCAGAGGCGAUGAAGGGCGUGCUAAUCUGCGAUAAGCGCCGGUAAGGUGAUAUGAACCGUUAUAACCGGCGAUACCCGAAUGGGGAAACCCAGUGUGACUCGUCACACUAUCAUUAACUGAAUCCAUAGGUUAAUGAGGCGAACCGGGGGAACUGAAACAUCUAAGUACCCCGAGGAAAAGAAAUCAACCGAGAUUCCCCCAGUAGCGGCGAGCGAACGGGGAGGAGCCCAGAGCCUGAAUCAGCAUGUGUGUUAGUGGAAGCGUCUGGAAAGGCGCGCGAUACAGGGUGACAGCCCCGUACACAAAAGCGCAUGUGCUGUGAGCUCGAUGAGUAGGGCGGGACACGUGGUAUCCUGUCUGAAUAUGGGGGGACCAUCCUCCAAGGCUAAAUACUCCUGACUGACCGAUAGUGAACCAGUACCGUGAGGGAAAGGCGAAAAGAACCCCGGCGAGGGGAGUGAAAAAGAACCUGAAACCGUGUACGUACAAGCAGUGGGAGCACAGGUUUACCUGUGUGACUGCGUACCUUUUGUAUAAUGGGUCAGCGACUUAUAUUCUGUAGCAAGGUUAACCGAAUAGGGGAGCCGGAGGGAAACCGAGUCUUAAUUGGGCGUUAAGUUGCAGGGUAUAGACCCGAAACCCGGUGAUCUAGCCAUGGGCAGGUUGAAGGUUGGGUAACACUAACUGGAGGACCGAACCGACUAAUGUUGAAAAAUUAGCGGAUGACCUGUGGCUGGGGGUGAAAGGCCAAUCAAACCGGGAGAUAGCUGGUUCUCCCCGAAAGCUAUUUAGGUAGCGCCUCGUGAAUUCAUCUCCGGGGGUAGAGCACUGUUUCGGCUAGGGGGCCAUCCCGGCUUACCAACCCGAUGCAAACUGCGAAUACCGGAGAAUGUUAUCACGGGAGACACACGGCGGGUGCUAACGUCCGUCGUGAAGAGGGAAACAACCCAGACCGCCAGCUAAGGUCCCAAAGUCAUGGUUAAGUGGGAAACGAUGUGGGAAGGCCCAGACAGCCAGGAUGUUGGCUUAGAAGCAGCCAUCAUUUAAAGAAAGCGUAAUAGCUCACUGGUCGAGUCGGCCUGCGCGGAAGAUGUAACGGGGCUAAACCAUGCACCGAAGCUGCGGCAGCGACGCUGAUGCGUUGUUGGGUAGGGGAGCGUUCUGUAAGCCUGCGAAGGUGGCCUGUGAGGGUUGCUGGAGGUAUCAGAAGUGCGAAUGCUGACAUAAGUAACGAUAAAGCGGGUGAAAAGCCCGCUCGCCGGAAGACCAAGGGUUCCUGUCCAACGUUAAUCGGGGCAGGGUGAGUCGACCCCUAAGGCGAGGCCGAAAGGCGUAGUCGAUGGGAAACGGGUUAAUAUUCCCGUACUUGGUGUUACUGCGAAGGGGGGACGGAGAAGGCUAUGUUGGCCGGGCGACGGUUGUCCCGGUUUAAGCGUGUAGG